rnacentral:tRNA from 1 species
UCAAGGAGUAGUUUAAAAAUAAAAUAAUAACUUUGGGAGUUAAUAAUAAAGAAAUUUCUUUCUCUUUGAU